GCCGAAAUAGCUCAGUUGGGAGAGCGUUAGACUGAAGAUCUAGAUGUCCCCGGUUCGAUCCCGGGUUUCGGCA
rfam:Habropoda laboriosa contig10448, whole genome shotgun sequence.